rnacentral:rRNA from 1 species
AGGACGAACGCUGGCGGCGUGCCUAAAACAUGCAAGUCGAUCGGAGCCUUCGGGCUCAGAGGCGAACGGCGGAGUAAUACGUGAACAACGUGCCCUAAAGACCGGGAUAGUCAGUGGAAACGCUGGGUAAUACCGGAUGUGGAAGACUUUCGGCAUCGGAGGUCUUUUAAAUGGUUUUUCGCUUUAGGAGCGGUUCACGGCCUAUCAGGUAGUUGGUGGGGUGAAGGCCUACCAAGCCGACGACGGGUAGCGGGUCUGAGAGGAUGACCCGCUCGAGUGGGACUGAGACACGGCCCACACACCUACGGGUGGCAGCAGUUGGGAAUCUUGCACAAUGGGGGAAACCCUGAUGCAGCGACGCCGCGUGGAGGAUGACGGGUCUAGGCCUGUAACUCCUUUUACCAGGAAAGACUUAGGACGGUACCUGGUGAAUAAGCACCGGCUAACUACGCGCCAGCAGCCGC